rnacentral:lncRNA from 1 species
UGAAACCUGGGCUGGCCAUAGUGUAGUGCAGUCUCUUUUCAGCUCCUAGUUCUAAGGAGAGGCCUUGUCAUUAUUUUUGUUUCUCUCUGCAUUUCCAGGGAAUUUCAGGCAGAGGAGCUGCAAAACAGGUUUCAGAGUUGCUGCUUUGGCUCCCCUGUGCCAGAGAGAGCCUUCUGCUGUUUGGUGGAGCACAUGGUCCAGAAGAAGCCUCUUGUGGCCCUCACGGGUCCACGUGGCUGCAGAGAACGCACAGGCCUGGGUGCCUGGCAGACGGAGGUGACCAACCUCUGGGAGCAAAGCUCAGUUCUGCACCCCUCAGGGAGCCAGAGGCCUAGCAGAGGCUCUGUAGGUUUUUACCCAGGCCCCUAACCUUCCUGCGGGAGUUCCUGCUCCCUGCUUCACCACCCUCACUUUCUCUCCAGCUGCUGCCCCUCAAAAGGAUCACGGGCACUCUAGGCUGCCCCUAGCCCAUCAGCUGGGUGAGGGGUCCAGCUAGGUGCCAGAGACAGGAAGCAGUCAUGGGAUCCCCCAGGC